CUCACGCGGCUCUGCAUGAACGCUCAAUGGCUGUUUAGAGUGAUAAUUACUCCCUCGGUCACCUUAAACAGCAUUAACAUGCUUUUCGACAGUUAAGGCCUGAAAACGUAAUCUACACAAGGACAUGAGACAGUUCAUAUUCAAUUCAUUUCUGGAUGGUGCACAACCCUGUCAGCUGCUUGUUGAGACGGUGCAAGUUGAAAGAACAUGAAAAAUUGUGAGGAACGUUGGGAACCAAACAACACUGGAGCCUAUUGACUUCCAUUGUAUGGACCAAAAAAAAAAAAAACACCCACUGAGAGCUCCUCCGUUUCUGUCUCAUUGACACACACAUCAAUAAACCCUUUCCCACAAAAUUCCAAACCACAUCAAUAUUAAACAGAUCUAGUGAGUUGGGUAAAUUAUGUAGAUUGUUUUGAAAGACAGGGAACAUUUUUCUCACAUCAGUGCUGGUUGAGCCGCUCCACCUGGGAGCGUUUUGAUGCGAAUGUGGAAGGGAACGCUUCCAUUAGCCACGUUCACAUUAUUGAACAGAGGCUUUUCAGAGACGAAUGAACUGCUGUUUGUACUGAGGAAAGGCUUUUGUUCCCGAGCUAUGCAGCGUCGCACCCCACAGUCAGAAACCCAGAUGAAGAAAUUGAAAAAGUCUUAUUUUACUAACCUAACACCUAUAGCUUGCAUCAACUUGAUAAAAGUAGCUUUAAAUAAAGCAACUUUUGUGAGCAAACUGUGUCUGGGGUUUAUCUCACAGGGUCUUAGCAAGAUAUUUUCUUCAACAAACCUCAAUUUUCUCGAACAUAUUUGUCUUUUAUGUUAUGUGUGA